rnacentral:tmRNA from 1 species
GGGGGCGAAAGGAUUUCGACAGGGUACUUGAAUCUUGGUCAGCGGGUAGCGGAGUUGCACCGCUUUAAAAGUAACAACUUAAAAUUAACUGACAAUAAUAAAUCAGUAGCUCUUGCUGCUUAAUUAGCGGCUUGUGCUCCUUCUGAGAGUGCCGCGGCUCAGAACGGAGUAUCGACUCAGCGGCGAACAUGAACGGAAGAGCGUCUCGGCUUCCGUCAGGUAUCAGAGAAUACCGUAACCCGAAGGUUGUUUAUCACCGUCGGGCGAGGGGAAUCAUAAACGAUAAACUACACCCGUAGAGCCCUUGACAAGGGUGUUCUGGACGUGGGUUCGACUCCCACCGCUUCCACCA